AUUGAACGCUGGCGGCAUGCCUUACACAUGCAAGUCGAACGGCAGCGCGGACUUCGGUCUGGCGGCGAGUGGCGAACGGGUGAGUAAUACAUCGGAACGUACCCUGUUGUGGGGGAUAACUAGUCGAAAGAUUAGCUAAUACCGCAUGCGACCUGAGGGUGAAAGUGGGGGACCGCAAGGCCUCACGCAGCAGGAGCGGCCGAUGUCUGAUUAGCUAGUUGGUGGGGUAAAGGCCCACCAAGGCGACGAUCAGUAGCUAGUCUGAGAGGACGAUCAGCCACACUGGGACUGAGACACGGCCCAGACUCCUACGGGAGGCAGCAGUGGGGAAUUUUGGACAAUGGGGGCAACCCUGAUCCAGCAAUGCCGCGUGUGUGAAGAAGGCCUUCGGGUUGUAAAGCACUUUUGUCCGGAAAGAAAUCGCGCUGGUUAAUACCUGGCGUGGAUGACGGUACCGGAAGAAUAAGCACCGGCUAACUACGUG
rnacentral:rRNA from 1 species